rnacentral:rRNA from 1 species
UACGUAGGGUGCAAGCGUUAAUCGGAAUUACUGGGCGUAAAGCGUGCGCAGGCGGUUAUGUAAGACAGAUGUGAAAUGCCCGGGCUUAACCUGGGAACUGCAUUUGUGACUGCAUGGCUAGAGUUUGGCAGAGGGGGGUAGAAUUCCACGUGUAGCAGUGAAAUGCGUAGAUAUGUGGAGGAACACCGAUGGCGAAGGCAGCCCCCUGGGUCAAGACUGACGCUCACGCACGAAAGCGUGGGGAGCAAACAGG